rnacentral:misc_RNA from 1 species
GAUGAAGAACGUAGCGAAAUGCGAUAAGUAAUGUGAAUUGCAGAAUCCAGUGAAUCAUCGAAUCUUUGAACGCACAUUGCGCCCGCCAGUAUUCUGGCGGGCAUGCCUGUUCGAGCGUCAUUUCAACCCUCAAGCCCCCGGGCUUGGUGUUGGGGAUCGGCGUGCCCUCGCGGCGCGCCGUCCCCUAAAUCUAGUGGCGGUCUCGCUGUAGCUUCCUCUGCGUAGUAGCAACACUCGCACUGGAUCGCAGCGCGGCCACGCCGUUAAACCCCCCACUUCUGAAAGUUUGACCUCGGAUCAGGUAGGAAUACCCGCUGAACUUAAGCAUAUCAAUAAGCGGAGGA